CAUGUCCUUCGAUUAAAGCCU
rnacentral:miRNA from 1 species